GGGAAAAAAUCAAAGCUCUGAACGGAACGGUAAACAAAUUACGGUAAAAGAAAAUAGUGUUGUUGAAGAAAAAAAUAGAAAACAAAAUAGUUGUGGAAAAUAAAUGCAGAGAAAGAUCUUGAAAGUUGGCUUCAGGGAGGAAAAUCAAGCGUGUCCGUAGGUUUCCAACUUCCAUCCUUUUAUAGUCUCCAUUUGGUCUUCAUAGUUGAGAGAAAUAAGGGUGACCUAGUUCAGUGAGAGAUUCACGGGAAAGUGGGUUGAGGAGCGAAAAAUGGGGCGUGUGGAUCACUUCUGUUGAACAAUUCAUUACGCUGCUUUUGGCCUUGUGUCGGUCGUGGUGGGCCUGUGACGUUCGUCACAACCAGGGCGUGACGGUCGUGACGAGGCUUGUGACGAUUGUCACCUGCAUAGAAUUUAUACUUUAUGGUUCUUCUGUUGUUUCUCUUUUGUUUCUUCUUCUUUUCCUUCCUUUUCUAUACUUUGCUCAUUUAAGCAUGUGAAUUGAAAUACCUACAAAAAUAACUCGAACACUUGCGGAAUAAUCGGAAUAUAAAUGAAAAUGGUACGAUUUUUGAAUGUAAAUCAAGGCAAAUAUACGAUGUAUUUUCACGUUAUCGGCGACGGAGCUUCAAUUGACCUUAAACACUCACCAAAAUUUCUAUUUCUACUCCCCCUCUCAUAAUCCUAUCUCAAUUGGUCCUAAUCCCUCACCUUUCGUCUGAAUCAAAACCUAAAUCGCUAUGAACCCUAGGUAUCUAUAACCAAAAUUAAACAACGAUUAUGAGAAACCUGGCUUCACAAGCAUAGGAUUAUGAGUUCCUAUUGUUAAUACUACCAACUUAUAACAAAUUUGAAGGCGAUUACGAGAAAGAAGAUAAUGAGCCUACCUUUGGAGCGACGGCUUGGUCCAGUGAUUGUUACGCUGAAGAAGAUGAAAUCAUAGAAAAAAAUAGAGAAAUCUUCAGAGAGGUGUAACUGGUUAACCACUUUGGUUAAUCGAUUACCUACACAACCUCUCACCGGAGUUGCAACGCAUUGCUGUUGGAAUUGUUAGGUGAUGGAUAGGUCAGCUAUGAAAAUGGAAUGUUAUGGACUCGAUCUGAAGCAAGGUUUUAUAGCAUGACAUGUUUGUGUGGCAUUUGAAGAAUGAUCAAGAUCAUGGUGCCUUGGACAUGAAGAAUGGUAAAUAUCAUGAUGAAGUAAAUUGCUUGAAGAGUGUGAAGAGAUGCAGGCCCGUAGGAUAGAUUUAGGAGGUCAAGGUUAAUGGUUAAUGGUCAAUUGUUGACUAAAAGUCAACAUUUUGGCCAAAAAAGUCAACUAUGUCAAAAACUUUGUAAUCUUCAUCUCUUGUGUAAUCCUUUGUAAUCUCACCCUUGAAUGUAUUGUGUAAUG